rnacentral:rRNA from 1 species
GUGGGGAAUAUUGGACAAUGGGCGAAAGCCUGAUCCAGCCAUGCCGCGUGUGUGAAGAAGGUCUUCGGAUUGUAAAGCACUUUAAGUUGGGAGGAAGGGCAGUAAGUUAAUACCUUGCUGUUUUGACGUUACCGACAGAAUAAGCACCGGCUAACUUCGUGCCAGCAGCCGCGGUAAUACGAAGGGUGCAAGCGUUAAUCGGAAUUACUGGGCGUAAAGCGCGCGUAGGUGGUUUUGUAAGUUGGAGGUGAAAUCCCCGGGCUCAACCUGGGAACUGCCUUCAAAACUGCAUGACUAGAGUACGGUAGAGGGUAGUGGAAUUUCCUGUGUAGCGGUGAAAUGCGUAGAUAUAGGAAGGAACACCAGUGGCGAAGGCGACUACCUGGACUGAUACUGACACUGAGGUGCGAAAGCGUGGGGAGCAAACAGGAUUAGAUACCCCAGUAGUCC